AUUACUGUAAAGAGUGUUUUCUAAUAAAAAACUUUUAGUGGGCAAAGUAUAGGAAAAUUAGAAAUGCCUAAAUACUUAUUAUCAGGUCUGAUAAGACACUAAUAAUUGAGAAAAAGCUUUAGUUUAGUUAGUACCUUUUGUAUAAUGGCCUCUCGAGGGGUUUUACCUUAGCGGUUUUUCCUGAAUUAAAAGGAUUUUUUAGGGGUUACAAGGUUAACGAUGUAAGGUAUCUUAUAAUCCCCUAAAAGAUGUGAUAUGCAAUAUCGGAUUUUAGUGUAGCCGGUUACGGAAAAAAUGCUUUUAGGUGCAGCUUUAAAACUUAUUUACACGUACACUAAAGUACGUAAGGUUAAGGUUUUAAGAGUGACUAGCUUGGCUAAAGGUCGUGCUUAAUGGUCUUCUGAGUCUUACACGCCUUAAAUAGAGAAAUUGGAUUUAAAAUGUCCGUUUUGAUAAGAGUAUUUAACAACUUGUCUUUUAGGUGCGGGUAUAAUUUAUUUAUUAAGCAGAGGUAUUAUAACAUUUCGUAAUUUCUUAAAAUUAGGGUAGGUAACAUUUUAUGCUAGGAUCAGUAGUGUUUAUA